GCGCCUUUAUAUAAAGAGUUUUGCUGUAACUCUUGUGCGACUGUCGCAACUUCUCAGACUGGCUGUAAUAUUCACGGCUGCAUACAGGAAAUGGCAGCCAAAUUCCUGCGGAAUGAAUGAAGAGGAAAUCUGCGAGUGGCAGCCUACCACGAGAUCGCUCUGAAAGGAGAGGGUGGAAAAGCUGUGGCCCUUCCUCUGCUAUGGACCCGGGCCAGGGCUCACUAGAACAUGCAUAGUUUGAAGCUCACAGCCAGAAGAUGCAAGUUGAGAGAACCUGUGGACAAAAUGCAGAUAUAAAGCCGUGGUAAAGCUGUGCACCUGCACAGCACCUGUCCCACCGGAGCGCCGAGGCUGAGCCCCUGCCUGUCGCCAGUGAUAUGGAACAAAGCUGUGGUCCCUAAAACAAACUGUGACCACCUCAGGAGAAAACUAGAGGCUGUGGUAACUGCAAACAACAGCUUGAGUCUGCUCUCAGGGGAUGAGACACAGGAAAUGUAGGCGGUAGCAAUAAUAUAACCUUAAUCUUAAAGGCAAAGAAGGCCAGCAGUGAAGUGUGUGGGUGCUUCUGUGGGUAAAGCCUUUAAGACUUGAGCAAAACUGAAUGAAUUAAAAUAAAAGUCAGCAGAUGGGGCUCUGUGUCGCUUUACUUUCAUUAUCCUGACAAUUCUUGCCUUUUACAGCACUGUGGUCAUCCUCACUGGCACCUCAUAAAACCACACUCGGGUCCUCGGCUGCAGUCAUGUGAUGCCUGCUGGACGAAGGUGUGAUGUAUCAAAGCCCCAGACAAAAAUCUUGGCAUGCUGUUUUUGUAUAUGUGUGUGUGUGUGUGUGUGUGUGUGUGUGUGUGUGUGUGUGUGUGUGUGUGUGUGUGUGUGUAUUUUGCGUGUUUUUGUGCAGACCGGGAGAGACCUGACGCCAAAGGGUGGGGGAAGUGCAGGCAGGAGGACAGAUGGUCUCCCUCAUGGUGGCUGAAAUAAAAGAGGGAAUUAGAAGACUCCAAGGUGUACACUCUGACGGCAAUUACAGCAAAUAGAUUGGAAGUGGACCUCCAGGCACCCAGGGAGACAGCUCUGUGGGGGAGAGCUCCACCUCACUGCAUCUGGUCUGUACACGCGAAACAGUCGAGAGAAACAAACAAAACAAAACAACACACACCUUUUCUUUCCUAUCACUGACCAGACCGUACUGGCUAUUAGCAUGCAACUGUAUAUCAGAAGAA